ACUCCUCUUGCCUAUAUAUAGCUUAGGCGGGGUAACUGAGUCUCUGGAGAGAUUUCCACUACUACUCUCCAGUUCACUCACACACAUACAUUAAGGAAGAAGACGAAUGAGAUUAUGGCGAUGGACACCAAUUUCGCAUCCUCAUUGUUUGAGAAUCUAAACCUGGAAGAUCCAUGGCUUCCUCCAACUACCUGGGAGUCGAUCCCAUCCGAAAGCGGAAAUUUCCAUCUUCGAAACCCCAAGUCCUCUUCCUCUCACUCCCUCUACCAUGCCUCCACCGUCUCCGAGGCAAGUUUGGUGCGGUUGGCGAUGAAUGCACUGCAAGGAGUUGAAUCGGCGCUUGUUAGCAUCCAGAAGCUUUCUGCUGCAUUUUGCUCUGAUCCGGCUGAUAGGACCUUCCAUCAGAUUCCAAGUCUGUGGAAUAGGUCUUCAAGCACUCAUGCUCUGGGAAACAUUCUCCAGCCCAUUGGCUGCUCAGGUUUGCUUGUCUUUCUUCUCCGGAAAUUUGUGGACUACUUUUCAAAUUUGAAUGUGGAAAGUGAAGAUCAUGUUGAUGGUGAAGCUCAAGUGAAACAGUGCCCUCCAUAUAGUCUUGUUAAUCAUGCUUUCGCUGUUUCGGUGGGAAAGUUUGUGGAAGGUUACAUGUGUGCACUGGAUACCUUGUAUGCAUCAGUGGGUUUGAGGCGCUCUUCGUGUUCGUCUUCUGUGGUGGGAUGUCUGAACAGUGUAGUGUAUUCUGAACUUACUUUGUUGGAGUUCUAUUUGCACACAAAGGAAUUGAGGACUCAGAUUGAAGCCCUUACGAACUUAUGCAACUUAUAUCAAUUCUCUAGUUGUUUCUCAGUAUCUUCUCUUGAAGAAUUGAUUACAAAAGCAAAUUUGGAAUUUUGUAAUUUCUACAGAGGAGGGGAUUUACUCUCAUAUCUGUAUACUCAAUUACAGGUUGCUGAUCCUGCUCAUCGUCCUUUACUCAAAUUUCUUUUUCUUCGUACAUGUGAACCAUAUUGUGGCUUUAUUAGAUCAUGGAUAUUCAAAGCCGAGAUUAGUGACCCUUACAAGGAGUUUGUUGUAGAAUAUGCUGACAGUCUAUCUCCAAAUCAACAUGGUAAAGCUGACAUCUCUGUUGACUUCCCAUUGGCAACUAUUACGGAACAAGAUGGAGUUUCUGUUCCUUGUUUUUUGAAGGAUGUCUUGAUUCCACUUGUCAGAGCUGGUCAGCAGCUGCAAGUUCUAGUGAAAUUGCUUGAAUUGUGUACUUUUGUUGCCACCAACGACCAUACUUACAAGGGUUUUCUUCCCUGCUGGACUGGAUUUUCGGGCAAUUGUCCAUAUUAUUCGUCUCCAUUGACAUUUAUAAAAGGAAAUGUAGAGGCCAUGUUACUUUCAAGGGACAGAUAUUACAGAAGAAUGCAGGAAAAACUCGAGAAUCUUUCUGCAAAAUUAGAGUUCAGAUAUCAACAGGUAGUUCGACCAGGUACACUGCCUGUUCUCUUGGAUAAUGGUGGUAGGAGUUCAACCAACCCAGGUUUAUUUGCUUUGGAUGACAAUUUUAUUCCUUCUCCAACAAAUGAUAAAAGGGAGUCAAAUGGGGUUCAUUAUUUGGAUUCUGGUGAGUUAAGUGCAAGGGAUGGUCUAUCUGACCUCAGGGAUUCGUACGAGUCAUCUGAAAGUUCAUUUGACAGUACUUCUGCAGAGCAAAAUGUGUCUGAGCAGAUGGUUGAGCUUCCCAAUCAUGUUGUUGGGCUGGAACAAAAAUAUUUAUCUGCCUUAAGCUUUUCAAUGAGUAUGCCCGUUGAUAAUUUGCAAAAGCCUCAUGUACGUGAAGAGUCAUGCCAUAUAGUAAGUGACCAGAGUAGACUUUGUGAAAGAAGAGAUGCCCUAGCACAUUCUCAUCAUAAAGGUGUGUUUACAAGUCAAAUAUCUGUGCCCAUAAAACCAAAAGAAUCGAACUUGUCAGCUUUGUCUGAUGUUCAGUUUGCAGAUUGUCUAUCCGAUAAGGACUGGCCAGAAGGUGGUCUUUUUGAGAGUUAUUCUGCCAUUGAUGAAGAGUACAAAGAUGGUCGAAGGUCACAUCCAAUGGACUCUCCCUCAAAGGUGAAUGAAAGAAUACUAGAGGCCUUAAAGGAGGGCACAUCAUAUUUCAGAAAAAGAGUUGGGACUACUAGUGCUUUAAUUGAAGAAGCCUAUGGCAAGGAUCAACCUCAAAAUGUGACAUAUACUUCUUCAGAUAUAUUUACAUUACAACAGUGGAAAGUUAACUCCCAUAACAAUUUUCUCAGCAUGAAUCCAAUGUUGACAAAGAAUAACUUACUUCACCUGAUAACGAAGCCCAAAGAGAGAUACGGAAGGGAAUUUGGACAUUCUUUGCCUUGCUUUGAAUUUUCUUUGAUAAAAGACCCUUUUAAGGUGUGUCUGGAAAAGCUACCUGCAGGGCUCAUGGACUCCAAUGCCUCUGUUACCAGUGUUAGGAGUGAUCGCUUUGGGAAACAAGAUUUUGGUGGGGAUAGUGUCUCGAUUGAUAAAACCAAAGUAUCUGAUUCUCUUCCAUUUUCAGACUCAAAGGACCACGACCAAGAAAAUGCUAAUUUAACAAAUGUUUCCGGUGGUAGUUGUUGGGAGAGUUUGCUUGGUAGAUUCAGUGACACUGUCGUUAAUAGAGUUGAAGAUCAUAGACAAAGCUUGUCAGAAAUUUUUGAGAUACCACUUGAUUUUAUUAUCGACAAAUGCCUUCUGCAGGAAAUCAUGCUUCAAUAUAAGUAUGUCAGCAAGUUAACUAUUAAGUUGCUUGAAGAAGGAUUUGAUUUGCAAGAACAUUUACUGGCUCUGCGGCGAUACCACUUUAUGGAACUAGCGGACUGGGCAGAUUUGUUUAUUAUGUCCCUUUGGCAUCAUAAAUGGUGUGUUACAGAGGCAGAUCAUAGACUUUCAGAAAUUCAAGGUUUCCUUGAGUCAUCAGUUCAGAGGUCAUCAUGUGAACGUGACCCUCAUAAGGACAGGUUAUUUGUGUACAUGAAAGGACAUGAUGCAAUGCCUCUUUCAGCAUCUGUUAUUGGAGUCCAUUCCUUCAAUUUUCUUGGUUUGGGUUAUAGAGUAGACUGGCCAAUCAGUAUUAUUUUGAGUCCUAGUGCGUUGAAAAUGUAUGCCGAGAUAUUCAGCUUUCUGAUACAAGUGAAGCUUGCUAUUUUCUCAUUGACUGAUGUAUGGCGCCAAUUAAAGGAUUUGGUGCACUCAAUUAGUCAGAAUAACGACUCUGAACAAAAUGAAAGGGAAGUGCGUCAUUUCAAUGCAUUAGUGAAGAUGAGGCUCCAGGUCAAUCAUUUUGUAUCUACAUUACAGCAAUAUGUGGAGUCACAGCUAUCACAUGUAUCAUGGUGCAGGUUUCUAUACUCACUUAAGCAUAAGGUCAAAGAUAUGAUGGAUCUUCAGUCUGUACAUCUGGCAUAUUUAAUAGAUUCGCUUGACAUAUGUUUCCUCUCUGAUGAAACACGACCUAUAGCUCGGAUCAUUGAGAGCAUUCUGCAGUGUGCUCUUGACUUCAGGUCGUGUCUUACCGGGGAAAUGUGGGAUGCGGGAACAGGUCAAGGGAAUUUAAUGGCAAGACUUUCUGGAAUCAAUAUAUCUCAGGUGGUCGUAAUAAAACAAACGUUUGACAAGAAUAUGAAAGAACUGCACCUCUGUUACCUCAAGUCACCUAAACAUGGGAAAUUUGGACUUUCUCAUUUUUGGGAAUACCUCAACUACAACAAUAAGCGAGAAAUGGGGAUUCAUAUCAUGCUUGAAGCAGCUUCAUUGAUUACGAUGGUUGAGGAGGGUAACUUCUUGAAGAAUCACAGUGGAUGAUAUGCCCAACCGAUGUAUAUCAUUCUUCUCAGUUUGGUCUUGUUCCUUGAGACCAGUCGUGGUGCUGAGAUAAGGUGCGAGUCUCAAGUGAACGUGGAGGAGCUAUGUUGGGGAGAUACUAUAAAUGUCGAAAAGAGGCGUUAAUAAGGACAUCGUGGACAGAUUUAAACCCUGGAAGAAUGUUCUAUGUUUGUGGCACACAAGGGGUGAGUUUUAUGAUGCUUUUGGUUAUUUGAAUUUUUUCUUUUCUUUUAUCCGAUUCCAUGACUGAUGCAAAGAGGUCGACGGUGGAUUUGUGGGAGAGGGCGGACCCAGAAAUGUGCAAUCAUUCCAAGCAGAUCAUUCAUGGGCUGUUAAGACGUAUUAGAACCAUGGAGGAGGAACUUCAGUUGUAGAGAGCUAAAGUAAAGAAGAUUAAGUUCUCAUUUGGCAGCUGCUUGAUUGUGAUGAUAAUUUUGGGCCUUUAUGUGUUAUCGAAACCAAAUUGCAGGGAUGGGAAACAACUGAAAUUGGAAUUAAUGUCAUGAAAGAGGUUUUAUUUAUUUAUUUUUUAUGCAGCUUGAUGAAAGGGUUUGAGGGCAUGUAUUUUGUGGUUUUGGGUUUUGGGUAAUAUGUGUUAGUGGU